rnacentral:sRNA from 1 species
CCGAAGACGCCGAAAAGAAUGCAUACAUCCAGCAAAUACCUUUUCCAUAUCACGGCCCUAUCACCUAUCCUACAGCCUAUUCAACAGAACAUGGGAUCGAUACCGGCCGACGGUCAAGAAGACUAACUAUUCUAAGUCCAGAGUUAAAUAUGUGACGAAAUUCGAUACUAACAUCAAGAAAACAUCAUAUUUAGACUAAACACCCUACCAAUUAAAUAUAGAACCCAAAAGAAGAAGAAAGAGAAGCCUCGAAACCCAGCCGAGCUACCCAGAACUCCUUCACCUGAAACCACAGCAAUUAUCACAAUGAGUUUUCAGCAAGAAUGCUUCGUCCUCCAUCAGUAGUGACCCGUUUACGGAUCCUCACGCGGACAUAUCGCGGUCCCAGCUCUCUAACCAUUAAUGCCUUCAACGCAGAUACCCCAUGCAGCUCGGACUCGCCUACUUGUGACGUUCCUUCUUCCGACCCUUCAUCCGAUACGAUGUCCAAUAUCGCGCUGGGGCAAAAUACCAGAGCCUCCCCGGUUUUUAGGGCCACGAUUCUGGAAAAUAAAUUAUCGGAUCCGUAUUUACGUUUGCUAUCAUCGUUGGCUGCGCCAGCCAGAUGGGCACGCAAUGUUGUGAACCAUGC